CCGUGCCCAAGAGAUCGGGAUAACACCUGGAAACAGAUGCUAAUACCGGAUAACAACAGAUGAUGCCUAUCAACUGUUUAAAAGAUGGUUCUGCUAUCACUCUUGGAUGGACCUGCGGUGCAUUAGCUAGUUGGUAGGGUAACGGCCUACCAAGGCGAUGAUGCAUAGCCGAGUUGAGAGACUGAUCGGCCACAUUGGGACUGAGACACGGCCCAAACUCCUACGGGAGGGCAGCAGCA
rnacentral:rRNA from 1 species